rnacentral:sRNA from 1 species
CAUGGCGCCCGGAAAAACAUCACAGACCUGGUGGAGGGCGCUAAGAAAGCCAAUGGAGUCCUAGAGGCACGGCAACUCGCCAUGCGCAUAUUUGAAGAUUACACCGUCUCUUGGUACUGGAUUAUCAUAGGCCUGGUCAUUGCCAUGGCGAUGAGCCUCCUGUUCAUCAUCCUGCUCCGCUUCCUGGCUGGUAUUAUGGUCUGGGUGAUGAUCAUCAUGGUGAUUCUGGUGCUGGGCUACGGAAUAUUUCACUGCUACAUGGAGUACUCCCGACUGCGUGGUGAGGCCGGCUCUGAUGUGUCUUUGGUGGACCUCGGCUUUCAGACGGAUUUCCGGGUGUACCUGCACUUACGGCAGACCUGGUUGGCCUUUAGUGAGUCACAGUCUCCCAAUCCUGCCCCCACAUGAGGCCUUGGAGGGAGUGGGAAGCCUAGUCAGCUCAGCCUUUGCCCUUUGCAGUGAUCAUUCUGAGUAUCCUUGAAGUCAUUAUCAUCUUGCUGCUCAUCUUUCUCCGGAAGAGAAUUCUCAUCGCGAUUGCACUCAUCAAAGAAGCCAGCAGGGCUGUGGGAUACGUCAUGUGCUCCAUGCUCUACCCACUGGUCACUUUCUUCUUGCUGUGCCUCUGCAUCGCCUACUGGGCCAGCACUGCUGUCUUCCUGUCCACUUCCAACGAAGCGGUCUAUAAGAUCUUUGAUGACGGCCUCUGCCCAUUUACUGCGAAAACCUGCAACCCAGAGACCUUCCCCUCCUCCAAUGAGUCCCGCCAAUGCCCCAACGCCCGUUGCCAGUUCGCCUUCUACGGUGGUGAGUCGGGCUACCACCGGGCCCUACUGGGCCUGCAGAUCUUCAAUGCCUUCAUGUUCUUCUGGUUGGCCAACUUCGUGCUGGCGCUGGGCCAGGUCACGCUGGCUGGGGCCUUUGCCUCCUAUUACUGGGCUCUGCGCAAGCCGGACGACCUGCCGGCCUUCCCGCUCUUCUCUGCCUUUGGCCGGGCGCUCAGGUGGGCUGGCGUUGCGGGCAGGAUGGGGUGGAGGACGAGGCCUGGCCCAGCCACCGACCACCCCCUCGGCCCGCAGGUACCACACAGGCUCCCUGGCCUUUGGCGCGCUCAUCUUGGCCAUUGUGCAGAUCAUCCGCGUGAUACUCGAGUACCUGGAUCAGCGGCUGAAAGCCGCAGAGAACAAGUUUGCCAAGUGCCUCAUGACCUGUCUCAAAUGCUGCUUCUGGUGC